GCCGAGGUGGUGGAAUCGGUAGACACGCAGCCUUGAGGAGGCUGUACCCUUAAAUAAGGUGUGCAGGUUCAAAUCCUGUCCUCGGCA
rnacentral:tRNA from 1 species